rnacentral:rRNA from 1 species
GGCGAACGCUGGCGGCGUGCUUAACACAUGCAAGUCGAACGGAAAGGCCCUGCUUUUGUGGGGUGCUCGAGUGGCGAACGGGUGAGUAACACGUGAGUAACCUGCCCUUGACUUUGGGAUAACUUCAGGAAACCGGGGCUAAUACCGGAUAGGAGCUCCUGCUGCAUGGUGGGGGUUGGAGAGUUUCGGCGGUUGGGGAUGGACUCGCGGCUUAUCAGCUUGUUGGUGGGGUAGUGGCUUACCAAGGCUUUGACGGGUAGCCGGCCUGAGAGGGUGACCGGCCACAUUGGGACUGAGAUACGGCCCAGACUCCUACGGGAGGCAGCAGUGGGGAAUAUUGCACAAUGGGCGGAAGCCUGAUGCAGCAACGCCGCGUGCGGGAUGACGGCCUUCGGGUUGUAAACCGCUUUCGCCUGUGACGAAGCGUGAGUGACGGUAAUGGGUAAAGAAGCACCGGCUAACUACGUG